rnacentral:tRNA from 1 species
ACAGAUUUAGCCAAGCGGAAAGGCACGGGACUUUGACUCCCGUAUGCGUCGGUUCGAAUCCGGCAAUCUGUGCCA